UUAAAUCAAAUGAUAUUGACAUAUUAUGAGGGAGAAGAAGUCAAUGCUGGAAGGAUUGGGCUAACGCUAGUAGUAGCUGGAAUGGUGGGCUCUAUUCUUUGUGGCUUAUGGCUGGAUUAUACUAAAACAUACAACUUCUACAUGACUGGUUACCUCCCUUUGGGUUUUGAAUUUGCUGUUGAAAUCACUUACCCUGAAUCUGAAGGUACUUCAUCUGGUCUUCUUAAUGCUUCUGCACAGAUAUUUGGAAUUUUGUUCACAUUGGCUCAAGGAAAGCUCACAUCAGACUAUGGUCCUAAGGCAGGGAACAUUUUUCUCUGUGUCUGGAUGUUUAUAGGCAUCAUUUUAACAGCAUUAAUCAAGUCUGAUCUGCGAAGACACAACAUAAAUAUAGGAAUUACAAAUGUUGAUAUUAAAGCCGUACCAGCUGACAGUCCCACAGACCAAGAACCAAAAACGGUUAUGUUAUCCAAGCAGUCAGAAUCAGCAAUUUGAAGAGAAAGGAAAAGUUACUGUCCUGUAGUAAUUGAGACAAUAUCAUCAUCCUUGGAGAGAGAUGUGAGCACCAAGGCUGGGUUUGUAUGUGGUGGGGGAAUAG
rnacentral:sRNA from 1 species